GUGCAUGUAAAUGUUACGUAGUUAAAAUGUGUAAUAUUAACAAUAAAAUGUUACGUUUAUAUCUUUACAUAAUAUAUCUGGUUUUGAAUUUAUCUUCAUUUGUUCAAAACACAAGACAAUGUGCAUAUUUUUACCUUACAAAAUUAAUCUAAGUAAUCUCAGCCAAUCUUUUUAGGCACAUGCACUCAACAAACAAUACCUUGUUUAAUUUACUCAGUGCAAAAAAUUACUCCCCUUCCUGUUUUUUGGUCUGGAAACCCCUUGCAUUUCAAACGAAGAGGAAGCCUACACGUGGAGACUGAACUCAAGAGCGCUCAUUGGGGUUUUUCAGCCGUCAAUCAUCUCGUGAACAUAGUCCCGCCUUCAGAAUGACGCGGUUCGCUGCACGCUUCCCCAUCGGAGCUCCGAGGGAAAACAAACCCAAAGUAGGCUAACAAUUAAACCGAAACUGAAGAAAAUUUGCUUACUGAUGAGCAGGUCAACUAAUUGCAGUGUUGUGGAGAGAGUGAUCCUCCUGACAAGUAGGCUACACUGGAUAAAGUUUUGUGAUGACGACGAUUCUGCAGCCAUCCAAGAGGAAAUCACUUCAUUUGUACUCAACAUGUUCGUGGUCACCAAAACCAGGGAUGGAGGUCUCGAGAAGCAAGCUGGAAUAGCCAUCAAGGGAGAAGAGGUCCUUUUUGGAAUUCCCAGUGUAGCACAUGCUUGCACCUAUACCUUAUGGGCAUUAUUUAUCCAAAUAAACUAAAAUACACCUUUGGAGGAUGUUAACAAAAACAUGCCCUCCAAAAUCCAGCUUAUGGCCUAAAAGUAUGACAGACGUUGUUGUUUAUAACUCUGUUUGGACCUUUUGGGACUUUGGCUUAUUCACCAUAUCCCCCAGAGUUAAAUAAGUCCACACAUACCCUUCUCAUCUCUGUGCGUGCCGUAACAGUCAGACGCACCCACUGUUAGCCUAGCUUAGCACAAAGACUGGAGGUAAACAGAUCCAGCUAGCAUACUAUUCUUAAUAAAUGACAAAAUAACACCAACAUUUCCU